rnacentral:rRNA from 1 species
GACGAACCGUACGAACGUUAUUCGGAAUCACUGGGCUUAAAGGGUGCGUAGGCGGCGCAGUAAGUUGGGUGUGAAAUCCCUCGGCUUAACCGAGGAAUUGCGCCCAAAACUACUGUGCUCGAGGGAGGUAGAGGUGAGCGGAACUUAGGGUGGAGCGGUGAAAUGCGUUGAUAUCCUAUGGAACACCGGUGGCGAAAGCGGCUCACUGGACCUCUUCUGACGCUGAGGCACGAAAGCUAGGGUAGCAAACGGG